UACGUAGGUGGCAAGCGUUGUCCGGAUUUACUGGGCGUAAAGAGCGCGCAGGCGGUCGUACAAGUCGCGUGUGAAAGCCCCCGGCUCAACUGGGGAGGGUCACGCGAUACUGUUCGACUCGAAGGCAGGAGAGGGAAGCAGAAUUCCCGGUGUAGUGGUGAAAUGCGUAGAUAUCGGGAGGAAUACCAGUGGCGAAGGCGGCUUCCUGGCCUGUUCUUGACGCUGAGGCGCGAAAGCUAGGGUAGCAAACAGG
rnacentral:rRNA from 1 species